UUACGGCCACAUCAUGUGGAAACACCGGUUCCCGUACGAUCGCUGAAGUUAAGCAACGCCGGACCUGGUCAGUAUCUAGAUAAGUAACCGUUUGGAAAUACUAAGUCCUGUAA